rnacentral:rRNA from 1 species
UACAGAGGGUGCUAGCGUUGUUCGGAAUCAUUGGGCGUAAAGGGCGUGUAGGCGGUUUUGUUAAGUCAUGUGUGAAAUCCCUCGGCUCAACCGGGGAACGACGCAUGAAACUGGCAAGCUAGAGUACCAAAGAGGGGGGUGGAAUUCCCGGUGUAGCGGUGAAAUUCGUAGAUAUUCGCAAGAACACCAGUGGCGAAGGCGGCUCACUGGCCCGGUACUGACGCUGAGGCACGAAAGCGUGGGGAGCAAACAGG